GAUGAAGAACGUAGCGAAAUGCGAUAAGUAAUGUGAAUUGCAGAAUUCAGUGAAUCAUCGAAUCUUUGAACGCACCUUGCGCCUUUUGGUAUUCCGAAAGGCACACCUGUUUGAGCGUCAUGAAUACCUCAAUCUCCAUCUUUUCUUCGGAUUGAUGGGUGACUUGGAUGUUGAGCCCUGCUGGUAUGCUAUAUCAGCUGGCUUUAAACUUAUUAGCCGGCUCUGUACUGGAUCGGUUUGACUCGACGUGAUAAUAUUAUCGUUGAGGAUGCACGUCUCAUGCAGCCGGAAAGUAUCAAAGCAGCUUCUAGCUUGCCUUUAGUGCACUUUUACAUUUUAGACCUCAGAUCAGGUGGGACUACCCGCUGAACUUAAGCAUAUCAUAAGCGGAGGA
rnacentral:misc_RNA from 1 species